GAUGAACGCUGGCGGCGUGCCUAAUACAUGCAAGUCGAGCGAACAGACGAGGAGCUUGCUCCUCUGACGUUAGCGGCGGACGGGUGAGUAACACGUGGAUAACCUACCUAUAAGACUGGGAUAACUUCGGGAAACCGGAGCUAAUACCGGAUAAUAUAUUGAACCGCAUGGUUCAAUAGUGAAAGACGGUUUUGCUGUCACUUAUAGAUGGAUCCGCGCCGCAUUAGCUAGUUGGUAAGGUAACGGCUUACCAAGGCAACGAUGCGUAGCCGACCUGAGAGGGUGAUCGGCCACACUGGAACUGAGCCACGGUCCAGGCUCCUACGGAAGGCAGCAGUAGGGAAUCUUCGGCAAUGGGGGAAAGCCUGACGGAGCAACGCCGGGUGAGUGAUGAAGGUCUUCGGAUCGUAAAACUCUGUUAUGAGGGAAGAACAAAUGUGUAAGUAACUAUGCACGUCUUAACGGUACCUAAUCAGAAGGCCACGGCUAACUACGU
rnacentral:rRNA from 1 species